AAUGCAUAUACAUGCGCAGACAUAUAUAUGUACAGAUACAUCUCUAAUGUUAACAAUUUGUCCCACAUACCAUUGUGUACCGUGAGUAGGAUCUAAUUUGAUGCGAUUUCGAAUGACUUUUAAACAUUACAGACAUCUGACAUCUGUCUACAUAAUCAGAUAUGUCUUGUUUGAUAUGCCGCUGAUUAAGGUGUUGUCAGUAAAACGUGGAAACAGUCAUCAUUCUCAUACAGCUGACAAUACGAGUCAACUGAAUCUUUGCAUGAUCCUGAUUAAUUGUAAAGUUGGUUUUUUUUUACCUGGGGUCAACUUGCACAACAAUUUACUGUUAGUUAUUGUCUCAAAAGUAGCAUAUCGUCAUGUGAUUAGGAAAAAUGAUGAUACCUUUAUACAUUUCAAAUAAAUGUCCGUAAUGUAAUCUAUAUUAUAAAACAGCAACAACUUUUUUCAUUCAUGUAUUGAAAUCCAUCAAACGGACACACUGUAUAAAAUGAAAAGUGAUCAAUUAGAACAGCUCACAAAUCAAUAAAACCAUGGAAGAUUCACCAAUGCACUGCUACCUAGAGACCGUAGUAGACAUGCAUCCCUGUCUUCAGCGCUGAUGGGCCUUUAUAUCCAUAUAUUCAACUCUGGUGUGUAUUUAUAUUCCAUUUGUCAAUGCUGGUGAGUAAAACUAUUUUCUCUCUCUAUGGAAUAGGCUACUGUAUAUAAAGCAAAACAUUCUUAAUGUAACUAUGUAAAAAGUUACACGUUUAAUUGUUAUGUACAAGUUCACCUUUUGUUUGGUGUCUAUAAGGUAUGUGUUUAUGAUGUCAUACGUUUUCUCGGUAUAUACAUGGUAUACGUUCACUUGGUAUGUUCAAGUUCCACUUUUACUUUAGUUAUAAGUGUACUCGGUGUGUAUAAGGCAUACGUUUACAUUGUCUAUACAAGUUAUUCGUGUACAAUGUACUCGCUGUGCGCGUAUUUUGUACGUCUGGAGAGAUGAGGGAUCGAAUAAAAAAUCACAUUAUUUUCAUGUUUAUUACACUUAUUACAAUGACGACAAUAAUCACAAACAUGUAAUACGGUAAGUUUUAAAUAUUAUUUUAUUAUUUAUUUCUAUUAUCGUAUUUGAACAUUUCAGGACAUCAGAAAAGAAGAAGAUGUGACUGUUGGGUAAACAAUGGCGUGGUCUGCUGUGGGUUUUUUCUUUGGAUCGGUGCCAGAUACUGACGGGCGGGUUAGGGUUGCCGGUUUUUCAUACCGUUUGUUACACCGUUCUUGAUAUACUGAUUUUGCCUAUGGAUUGCUUUGCUUACAUGGUCAAGAUAUAAGACACACGGCAGAUUAAAAUCCAGACACACAGAUGGGAUUCGUGCAUUCUACAUUCCGCACAUAAUUCAGAAGCUCUAUCCACUACGCCGCUGGCGUUGAUGACAUCUGUUGAACAUAACCUGUUUGGAAGAUAUGGAAUCACUUCAAAUUCUGCUGGUUACACUAUCCCCAAAUAUAUUUCAAGGACAAUAUGUUGAGAAGGGUGUAUAAAUGAUGAAUACUGGAUAGCACGAGAUAAGCAUUACAUCAACAGUAAGAGAAGGAGCAAUAUCGCCAUUUGAUGAUUUGCGCCCUGCCCACUGGACAUACCACGACUGCCACUCCAGUUCACUCGGCUGUACAUUGAAUUAGUAUUGUCUUCGGUUGGAGGGAGAGCUUAGACUGUGAUGGACUGGUGUCUCACUCUGUUACUCUUAUCCGUUAACCACUUAUCAUUCCGAGGAAUGACAAUGUAAGCUUUCCAGUCUCCGUAGCUACGGACGACAUAGUGCCUAUCUUUAUGAUACUUGCGUUUUUCCGUUACAUAUUGCUUGUUGUUAUUUAAUACUAAAUGUGAUAAACAUGAAUAGGGUAACUUAUUAAGAAGAUCAGAACGGCUUUAGAUAUGAAAAAUAUUUUUAAAAUAUCUUAAUCGAAUCCAAUUUGUAGUUGAUGUUAGAUCUUUACGUUUGAAAUAUCAAAUUUAAUUCAAUUGUUUUAACUGAUAUAAUGGAUGCAAGACAACAUCAUCUGAAUUAAUAUCAAUUCAGAUCAGAAAAGUGUAGGUCCAUUAUAAGCACAUCAGUUUUUCGAAACCAGCUCAUUACAGCCCAAUCCCAAAUGUGACAGAAAAACUUCUGAAUGUCAGAGAACCACAUGCAUUUGUUAUCAGUCUGCAAUACAUCAAUGGCUUGGUUUGUUGGAAAGUGUUCAAUGAAUCCACCAUGUAAUUUAAAUUUUAAAAGUUGGCUUAUUUUAGUUGGGUUUGCUAAAACGCGGUACUUCUUUUGGGUUUAACACAUUCGCAGGAUAUCGGUACAUGCAUGAACUUUCACUUUGCAUAAUUCGAUCACAGAGGCAAACCAUUUUCAAACAUCACAUCCGUUUGCUUUAAAUUUGAUAUGAUAUAUGAUUAUGUAUAUCAAGUAUUUGAAGUAUAAUCAGAUUUCAAUUUCAAUUAUCUUCAGAAUAUCUAGCUUAAUCAAACACAUUUUCGUUUUAAAAAACCUGUGCUUGGAGAAAAAUUGUUGAGGACAUGAUUUAUCUUUAUAGAUCUAGUUAAGCAAAGGGGGGAUUUUGUUUUAAUUGGAUGGGCAUUUUAAAUCUUUUGUCGAGUUGGUGGCCAGAAAAUAUGUACUAAACUUUGAAAAAUUGACUUCUAAUUCUAGUCUUUUUUUGGACUUAGGUUUUUGUAGGUUUAUUCUUUUCUCUUAAUCUAUCUAUUUUUUCUUUUGUUCUUUUUGUGGAUUUAAGUUUUUUUAUGACAACCUACCAUCACAAGCCGUCCAUUAUCCGGUCUGAGUUUUGGCAUCACCCAUUUUCAUUUUCGUAGAAUCCAUGUAAGAAACCCUACUGGAAUUUUAAAAAAAUGCAUUUGAGUUUUUUUCCCUGAUUAUGCAUGUUUAAAACAUUUAAACAACGGUGUUGAUGAUUGUGCAGGUGUCACUUAUUGCACGGAACUUAGAUUCUAGCCACACUUGUAUAUUUUGUCCGUAUUUGAUGUGAUUUUUAUCAUUUUCCUUUUUAUAAGCACAUUCUAACACUGAUAUUCCAAAGGAUGAUCAGAAUUCAUCAGUACCCCCGCAACUAGUAGGAUUCAGAAGUAUUCAUAGUAGAGUUUUUCACCCCAAGCUCAAAUGAUGUAGUUGAUGCAGAACCCGCAUUCCCUAUGGUGAACUGAAACUGAAAAGUGCCACAGGAUGACAAAACUUUCUCAUGAAUUUCUUACUCAGAUGGAGACGUCACCAAUGCCGGUGAAGGACUUCAAAAUUUAGGCCUAUGAUUGGAGCUUACAACUUUUGAGCAGGGGGUCUUUAUUCUGUCACACCUGCUGUGACACAGGGCCUCGGGUUAUGUUGUCUUAUCCGAAGGACCGCCCCGUUUAGUCGCCUCUUACGACAAGCAGGGAUACUGAGGACCUAUUCUAACCCGGAUCACGGAGGUGUAUCGUCCAUAAUCGGCUCCACAAAAAUUUAAUUCCACAGGAAACCAACCAACAGGACGGACACAUAAUUGUGUGCACUCGAUUUAAGAUGUAGAUAUUAAACUUAAUUGCUACCAAUAUGUUGAGGAGUGUAUACAUGUGAUAACUAUAUGACGAUACACGAUAUACUGGCUGUCAUCGUAAAUAAAAGAUAAAAUGCGUGUUGUAAUAAUAUGUGGUCAACUUGCGAGAAAAUUACGUUUUGUUUGAAUAAAAUAUUUUAUUUAGGCA